UACGUAGGUGGCAAGCGUUGUCCGGAAUCACUGGGCGUAAAGCGCGCGCAGGCGGCGAUCUACGUCUGGGGUGAAAGCCCGGGGCUCAACCUCGGGACUGCCUUGGAUACGGGAUCGCUUGAGAAUCGGAGAGGCAAGGGGAAUUCCACGUGUAGCGGUGAAAUGCGUAGAGAUGUGGAGGAACACCUGUGGCGAAGGCGCCUUGCUGGCCGAUUUCUGACGCUGAGGCGCGAAAGCGUGGGGAGCAAACAGGAUUAGAAACCCCCGUAGUCC
rnacentral:rRNA from 1 species